GGGUUUAUAGCUCAGGUGGUCAGAGCGCCUGCCUUACAAGCAGGACGUCGGGGGUUCGAAUCCCUCUGGACCCA
rnacentral:tRNA from 2 species